UACGAAGGGGGCGAGCGUUGUUCGGAUUUACUGGGCGUAAAGGGCGCGUAGGCGGCCUUGUCAGUCAGGCGUGAAAGCCCCGGGCUCAACCUGGGAACGGCGCUUGGGACGGCGAGGCUGGAGUUCGGGAGAGGAGAGUGGAAUUCCCAGUGUAGAGGUGAAAUUCGUAGAUAUUGGGAAGAACACCAGUGGCGAAGGCGGCUCACUGGCCCGGUACUGACGCUGAGGUGCGAAAGCGUGGGGAGCAAACAGG
rnacentral:rRNA from 1 species